AUUAAAGAUUUAUUUUUAAAUAUUUAUUUAAUAAUUUUUAAUAAAAAUAAUUUUAUUUAUUUUAAUUUUUAGUAUAUUUUAUAGAAAAAAUUUUGUUAAUUAUAGUUAAUUUGUAUUGUAAAAGAUAAUUUAAAUAAUUUUUUAAUUAUUUAUAAGUAAAAUUUAAUUUUUGUACCUUGUGUAUCAGGGUUUAUUAAAUAAAUAUUAAAUAUUUUAAUUUUCUCGAUUUUAAGAGAGCUAAUAAAUUAUUUUUUUUAUUGUAAAAUAAAUAUUUAUAAUAAUUUAUUGGUAAUGAAAUGUUAUUCGUUCUUAAAUAUAUCUAGUUUAUUUAGAAAUGAAUUUAAUUCAGAUAUUUUAAUUUUAAUAAAUUAAUUUAUUAAUUUAUUAUAUUUUAAUAUUAAUAAUUAAGGGGAUUAGCUUUUAAUUAAAAAUUUAUAAAUGAAUUAAAAUAUAUUAAAAAAUGUAAGUUUAGAAAUAGCUAUCAAUAAUAAUUUGUUAUAAUUAAUUUAAAUAUUAAUAUUAUUUUAUAUUAUUUUAAAUUUUUUAUAAAUAAAUAAUUUUAAAAAAUUUAAAGAUUAGAUAUAAUGAUGAAAUUAGUAUAUAUUAUUUAUUUAUAUAAUAAUUUAAUAAAGAUUAUUUAAAGGAAUUCGGCAAAAAUUUUACUCGCCUGUUUAACAAAAACAUGUCUUUUUGUGAUAUAUUUAAAGUCUAACCUGCCCACUGAAAUUUUUAAAUGGCCGCAGUAAUUUGACUGUGCAAAGGUAGCAUAAUCAUUAGUUUUUUAAUUAAAAGCUUGUAUGAAAGGUUGGACGAAGUAAAAUCUGUCUCUAUUUAAUUUAAUAUAGAAUUUAAUUUUUAAGUUAAAAAGCUUAAAUAUUUAUAAAAGACGAGAAGACCCUAUAGAGCUUUAUAAUAUAUUUAAUAUAAUUAAUUAGGAUUUAUUUAAGUUUUAUUAUAAUUAAUUAUUUUAUUGGGGUAAUAGAAAGAUUAAAAUAAUUCUUUUUUAUUAUUAACAUUAAUUUAUGAUAUUAAUGAUCCAUUUUUAUUGAUUAAAAGAUUAAGUUACCUUAGGGAUAACAGCGUAAUUUUUUUAAAGAGUUCAUAUCGAUAAAAAAGUUUGCGACCUCGAUGUUGGAUUAAAGAUUAAUUUAGGUGUAGAAGUUUAAAUUUUUGGUCUGUUCGACCAUUAAAUCUUUACAUGAUCUGAGUUCAGACCGGUGUAAGCCAGGUCGGUUUCUAUCUUUAUUAAAAUAUAAAUAUUUUAGUACGAAAGGACCAAAUAUUUAAUAUAUUUAUAUUUUUAUUUUUGAAUAUUAAUAAAUUAUUUUGGCAGAUUAGUGUAAUGAAUUUAGAAUUCAUA
rnacentral:rRNA from 1 species